CGUAGGUGGCAAGCGUUGUCCGGAUUUAUUGGGAUUUAAAGGGUGCGUAGGCGGCUUUGUAAGUCAGUGGUGAAAUAUGGCAGCUCAACUGUCAAGGUGCCAUUGAUACUGCGGAGCUUGAGUACAGAUGAGGUAGGCGGAAUUGACGGUGUAGCGGUGAAAUGCUUAGAUAUCGUCAAGAACACCUAUAGCGAAGGCAGCUUACUAGGCUGUAACUGACGCUGAGGCACGGAAGUGUGGGGAUCAAACAGGAUUAGAUACCCUGGUAGUCCACACUGUAAACGUUGAUUACUCGCUGUGUGCGAUAUACAGUACGCGGCCAAGCGAAAGCGCUAAGUAAUCCACCUGGGGAGUACGCCGGCAAACGGUG
rnacentral:rRNA from 1 species